rfam:Zostera marina strain Finnish scaffold_136, whole genome shotgun sequence.
GCUGGAAUAGCUCAGUUGGUUAGAGCGUGUGGCUGUUAACCACAAGGUCGAAGUUUCGACCCCUUCUUCUAGUG